GGGUUGUGAGGUUAAGCGACUAAGCGUACACGGUGGAUGCCCUGGCAGUCAGAGGCGAUGAAGGACGUGCUAAUCUGCGAAAAGCGUCGGUAAGGUGAUAUGAACCGUUAUAGCCGGCGAUGUCCGAAUGGGGAAACCCAGUGCAAUUCGUUGCACUAUCGUUUGAUGAAUACAUAGUCAAACGAGGCGAACCGGGGGAACUGAAACAUCUAAGUACCCCGAGGAAAAGAAAUCAACCGAGAUUCCCCCAGUAGCGGCGAGCGAACGGGGAGCAGCCCGGAGUCUGAAUCAGCUUGUGUGUUAGUGGAAGCGUCUGGAAAGUCGCAGGGUACAGGGUGAUACUCCCGUACACUAAAACGCACAGGCUGUGAACUCGAAGAGUAGGGCGGGACACGUGGUAUCCUGUCUGAAUAUGGGGGGACCAUCCUCCAAGGCUAAAUACUCCUGACUGACCGAUAGUGAACCAGUACCGUGAGGGAAAGGCGAAAAGAACCCCGGCGAGGGGAGUGAAAAAGAACCUGAAACCGUGUACGUACAAGCAGUAGGAGCCUCUUUAUGGGGUGACUGCGUACCUUUUGUAUAAUGGGUCAGCGACUUAUAUUCUGUAGCAAGGUUAACCGUAUAGGGGAGCCGCAGGGAAACCGAGUCUUAACUGGGCGUUAAGUUGCAGGGUAUAGACCCGAAACCCGGUGAUCUAGCCAUGGGCAGGUUGAAGGUUGGGUAACACUAACUGGAGGACCGAACCGACUAAUGUUGAAAAAUUAGCGGAUGACUUGUGGCUGGGGGUGAAAGGCCAAUCAAACCGGGAGAUAGCUGGUUCUCCCCGAAAGCUAUUUAGGUAGCGCCUCGUGAACUCAUCUUCGGGGGUAGAGCACUGUUUCGGCUAGGGGGUCAUCCCGACUUACCAACCCGAUGCAAACUACGAAUACCGAAGAAUGUUAUCACGGGAGACACACGGCGGGUGCUAACGUCCGUCGUGAAGAGGGAAACAACCCAGACCGCCAGCUAAGGUCCCAAAGUCAUGGUUAAGUGGGAAACGAUGUGGGAAGGCCCAGACAGCCAGGAUGUUGGCUUAGAAGCAGCCAUCAUUUAAAGAAAGCGUAAUAGCUCACUGGUCGAGUCGGCCUGCGCGGAAGAUGUAACGGGGCUAAACCAUGCACCGAAGCUGCGGCAGCGACACUAUGUGUUGUUGGGUAGGGGAGCGUUCUGUAAGCCGUUGAAGGUGGCCUGUGAGGGUUGCUGGAGGUAUCAGAAGUGCGAAUGCUGACAUAAGUAACGAUAAUGCGGGUGAAAAACCCGCACGCCGGAAGACCAAGGGUUCCUGUCCAACGUUAAUCGGGGCAGGGUGAGUCGACCCCUAAGGCGAGGCCGAAAGGCGUAGUCGAUGGGAAACAGGUUAAUAUUCCUGUACUCGGUGUUACUGCGAAGGGGGGACGGAGAAGGCUAUGUUGGCCGGGCGACGGUUGUCCCGGUUUAAGCAUGUAGGCGGAUGUUCCAGGUAAAUCCGGAACGUUACUAACGCUGAGGUGUGAUGACGAGGCACUACGGUGCUGAAGUGACAAAUGCCCUGCUUCCAGGAAAAGCCUCUAAGCAUCAGGUAACAUCAAAUCGUACCCCAAACCGACACAGGUGGUCAGGUAGAGAAUACCAAGGCGCUUGAGAGAACUCGGGUGAAGGAACUAGGCAAAAUGGUGCCGUAACUUCGGGAGAAGGCACGCUGAUAUGUAGGUGAAGUGGUUUACCCAUGGAGCUGAAAUCAGUCGAAGAUACCAGCUGGCUGCAACUGUUUAUUAAAAACACAGCACUGUGCAAACACGAAAGUGGACGUAUACGGUGUGACGCCUGCCCGGUGCCGGAAGGUUAAUUGAUGGGGUUAUCCGUAAGGAGAAGCUCUUGAUCGAAGCCCCGGUAAACGGCGGCCGUAACUAUAACGGUCCUAAGGUAGCGAAAUUCCUUGUCGGGUAAGUUCCGACCUGCACGAAUGGCGUAAUGAUGGCCAGGCUGUCUCCACCCGAGACUCAGUGAAAUUGAACUCGCUGUGAAGAUGCAGUGUACCCGCGGCAAGACGGAAAGACCCCGUGAACCUUUACUAUAGCUUGACACUGAACACUGGUCCUUGAUGUGUAGGAUAGGUGGGAGGCUUUGAAGUGUGGACGCCAGUCUGCAUGGAGCCAUCCUUGAAAUACCACCCUUUAAUGGCUGGUGUUCUAACGUGGGCCCGUUAUCCGGGUUGCGGACAGUGUCUGGUGGGUAGUUUGACUGGGGCGGUCUCCUCCUAAAGAGUAACGGAGGAGCACGAAGGUCAGCUAAUCCUGGUCGGACAUCAGGAGGUUAGUGCAAUGGCAUAAGCUGGCUUGACUGCGAGCGUGACGGCGCGAGCAGGUGCGAAAGCAGGUCAUAGUGAUCCGGUGGUUCUGAAUGGAAGGGCCAUCGCUCAACGGAUAAAAGGUACUCCGGGGAUAACAGGCUGAUACCGCCCAAGAGUUCAUAUCGACGGCGGUGUUUGGCACCUCGAUGUCGGCUCAUCACAUCCUGGGGCUGAAGUAGGUCCCAAGGGUAUGGCUGUUCGCCAUUUAAAGUGGUACGCGAGCUGGGUUUAGAACGUCGUGAGACAGUUCGGUCCCUAUCUGCCGUGGGCGCUGGAGAAUUGAGGGGGGCUGCUCCUAGUACGAGAGGACCGGAGUGGACGCAUCACUGGUGUUCGGGUUGUCAUGCCAAUGGCAUUGCCCGGUAGCUAAAUGCGGAAGAGAUAAGUGCUGAAAGCAUCUAAGCACGAAACUUGCCCCGAGAUGAGUUCUCCCUGACUCCUUGAGAGUCCUGAAGGAACGUUGAAGACGACGACGUUGAUAGGCCGGGUGUGUAAGCGCAGCGAUGCGUUGAGCUAACCGGUACUAAUGAACCGUGAGGCUUAACCUUACAACGCCGAAG
rnacentral:rRNA from 2 species